rnacentral:lncRNA from 1 species
UUGGGUUGUAAUCAAUGCGCUAAAAUGUCGUCCGAUUAUAGCAAGGCAUCUUUGUCACAAAUACUGAUUUUAUUUUCCCUGUAUAAUGUUAACAAGUUAAUGAUAUUAUCCGUCAUAUUAUGGAGUGGUUCAUUUUUUUGACUAAAAACUCGGUCGCGAAAAAGCAUUUUUAUUUUAAAACAUUUUAGACCAGAAUAAAAUGAUUAUUUUUAUCUGUUCUAUGGUUCUUGAUCAACUGACAGCGAGUGAUGCAUAAAAACAAUGUAUCACUUGUCUCGUUCGUCCAUUGGCCGUCCGUGUCACACUUUAACAUAAUAUUAAUAUACAACGCCUGAAAACGUUUUGAAAAAUUUCAACCAAACUUGCACAGAUUCUACUACAGGACAUAAAGUUGUGCGCCUUCUUUUUUAAAAUUUUCGAUUUGUUUGGUUUUCUUUACCAUAGAUAGAUUUUGACCGUUUCUGAUUGUAUCACUAUAUUAAUUUAUUUCCUCUUGAAAACGAAGUUAUUC